rnacentral:rRNA from 1 species
UACGUAGGUGGCAAGCGUUGUCCGGAUUUAUUGGGUUUAAAGGGUGCGUAGGCGGCUUUGUAAGUCAGUGGUGAAAUAUGGCAGCUUAACUGUCAAGGUGCCAUUGAUACUGCGGAGCUUGAGUACAGAUGAGGUAGGCGGAAUUGGACGGUGUAGCGGUGAAAUGCUUAGAUAUCGUCAAGAACACCUAUAGCGAAGGCAGCUUACUAGGCUGUAACUGACGCUGAGGCACGAAAGUGUGGGGAUCAAACAGG